UCAUUGUUACUACUACCUGAAACGAAAAUUCGAAAAUCGUUGUUACUUCUUCUCCGAAUCAGUACAUGGCUGGCUGCCCAAUACUGUGACCGCCUGACUGAUUUACGGCAAUGAUAAAUCCCGAACGUUCGGAUUUUAAGCAUGGCAACCCGAACGUUUUUUAUGGCAACUUUAAUUCACGUGAGGUUGGUAAACAUUGCAAUUUUCUGACAAAAAAAACGAACUGGAACAAAGUUGCCAUGUCUUAACAACUAAAAUUGCCACCUCGCGUCAACUAAAGUUGCCAUGUAAAAACGUUUGGGAUGAAAUGCUUAAAAUCCAAACGUUCGGAUUUUAUCGGGUCCCUGAUUUAACAUCUGAAUCUAGUGUCUUUAACUGACACUGUACAUGGCAAUCGAAAUUGGCAAUCUGAAUCAAAUUAACAUGGCAAUGAAAAUCUACCUUGCUUGCUCCUUCGGCGCCUCCUCCUUUGGUUGUAUCGGUCGAGAAGAGAAAGGGGCAGCAGCAAGCAAAGCGAAAAGAGAUGGGGCGGCAGCAGGCAGCAGGCAGCGGCGGUGGCGUCCAGAUUGGAUGCAGCAGCGAGCAGCCGGCAGGCGGGCGGCGGCGGUUGGUAGACGGUGCGCGGCGGGCGGCGGUGGAUGCCUCGAUGUAUCGAGAGAGAAGGG
rnacentral:lncRNA from 1 species